UACGGAGGGUGCGAGCGUUGUCCGGAAUUACUGGGCGUAAAGGGCUCGUAGGCGGCCAACUAAGUCAGACUUGAAAUCCCUCAGCUUAACUGGGGAACUGCGUCUGAUACUGGAUGGCUUGGAUUCGGGAGAGGAAUGCGGAAUUCCAGGUGUAGCGGUGAAAUGCGUAGAUAUCUAGAGGAACACCGGUGGCGAAGGCGGCAUUCUGGACAGACAUUGACGCUGAGGAGCGAAAGCCAGGGGAGCAAACGGG
rnacentral:rRNA from 1 species